rnacentral:rRNA from 1 species
AAAUGAAUUGACGGGGGCCCGCACAAGCGGUGGAGCAUGUGGUUUAAUUCGAUGCAACGCGAAGAACCUUACCAGGUCUUGACAUCCAAAGAAUCCUAUCGAAAGUUAGGAGUGCCUUCGGGAGCUUUGAGACAGGUGGUGCAUGGUUGUCGUCAGCUCGUGUCGUGAGAUGUUGGGUUAAGUCCCGCAACGAGCGCAACCCUUGCCACUAGUUGCUAACAGAUUAAGCUGAGCACUCUAAUGGGACUGCCGGUGACAAGCCGGAGGAAGGUGGGGAUGACGUCAAAUCAUCAUGCCCUUUAUGACCUGGGCUACACACGUGCUACAAUGGAUGGUACAGAGAGCAGCGAGACCGCGAGGUGGAGCGAAUCUCAAAAAGCCAUUCUCAGUUCGGAUUGGAGUCUGCAACUCGACUCCAUGAAGUCGGAAUCGCUAGUAAUCGCGAAUCAGCAUGUCGCGGUGAAUGCGUUCCCGGGCCUUGUACACACCGCCCGU